rnacentral:lncRNA from 13 species
UUGAGAGUGGCUGGGCAAGUUCUUCUGCCUUCUCCCUCAGUACCCAUGGGUGGAUCCUAUUGGAGCCCAUAGACUUAUGGGUGUUUUAAGUGGGGUAGCAGAUCACUAACCAUUUCCUCCUGGAUUAUAUGGGCUUCAUUCUGCUUCCAGUCCCUGUCUUCCAGGUCAGAGGGAAUUUUCCUCUGAUAACAUUGAAUGUUUCAGUGAACACCAAGAUCAAUGAGAAAAACGUGUCCAUUUUAGACUCUACCUUUGACAAAAGCAUGGAAAUACUAAGGGAAAUAUCAGUUGGUAUUUUAUGA